AAGGUAAGCAAGCUUCAUCCUUUCUUCCGUGUCCCAUCUUUGUGGAUCUUAUUUCAUCAACCAGCUGGAAGUAUUGAUACGAGAUCUAGCUAGACUCUUGCUAGUGCAAGCUUCAAGGCUUUGAAUAUUAUAAAAAUAGGUUUAAGAAAUUAUCAAUAUAUGCAAUUUUCUAUGCUUCUCAUAAUCAGACACAAUUCAAUCUAAUUAUUUCGUUUGUCCUGUCUUCAAAAGUAAAGAAUUGUACACUAAACGGAAAUCGACAUCGUAGCUUUUUAUUUUUUCUAAUGCUCUUUCUUUGUUAACGAGUUUAUAUCCUGAGAGUGGAUUGGAUUAAAAAAAAAAAAAAAGUUUUGAUGUUCAAGGUAAGCCAUAAUAACAUGCAUCUUAUUUAUCUGCCUAUAUCUAAAUUUGUGCACUGAAUUUAGUAUUUUGGUUAGUGUGAAGGGAUCAGAUAUUGGCUUCCAUAAACCAACUUGUAUUUACUUAAUUAAUUAAUUAACACCAUUUAGUAUUUAACAAAUUAAAAUUUCGUGUUUAAUUUGUCUUUUUUUUUUUUUUUUGAAACAAGAAUAAGGUAUAGCAGUAGGUAAAGUUGAAAUAAAUUUUUAUUCCUUACAAAUUUAAAUUCGCUGUUGUCAGCCAAAUAUACCUACUUAAAACCACUCAAUCAGGCCCUUGGCAACUGUUUUUUUAAGGUUUUUCUGGUUAGCCGUAUUCUUUUCUUAUUAAUAAAAUUCUUUUCGCUGAGAUUUAAGAUAAAAAUAAAAAAGAGAAAAUAAGUUAUUUAAUUAACUUUGUUUUAAGUGUUGGAAUAAAUACAGGACUGGAAUCCUUGAGUAACUUAGAGGAGCUGGACAUGAGCGGCAAUGCAAUCGACAAUCUAGUGGUUCCUAAAGGUAUACAAAAUGUUCAAAUAUUAAUAAUUUGGAGGACAGUUUAAUUGAUUUGAUUAGGGAAUGCCCAAUGACACUUACCCAAAAUAAUUUAAUCUGAAAUUGUAUCUCAAAUAGAUUACAGUGGUUUGAGGAAGUUGAAUACCCUUUAUUUGGGGGGGGGGGGGGGGGAGAGGGAGGCAGUGAUAUAUGGAAGCAAGGUGUUGCAAUCAAUAAAAAAAAUUUGUUGGUCAAUAUUCAAGGACUCAUCCAAAGUAAUCGUUAAAGUCUAGAGGUCUGCUCUCCACCAACUCAAACAUUUCUUCAAUGACGAUCAACGUCUUCAAAACUAGGUAGACGCGGGAGAUGAUGAGAAUAAUUUAGAUUGUUGUCAGUGGGAAGGGAUUGAGUGCAACAACACCACUGGCAGAGUGAUUAAAUUAGAUCUAGCACAAACUCGAAAAUGGGAAUCAGCGAAGUGGUAUAUGAAUGCCUCUCUGUUUACUCCCUUUCAACAAUUAGAGUCUCUUGAUCUAAUUGGGAACAAUAUAGCUGAUUGUGUUAAAAACGAAGGUCAUUAAUUUACUCUAUUUUAAUUCUUCCUCCUCGUAAUUUCUUACAUCUAUCUGAUCCCUUUUGGCUUUUGUUUAAUUUGUACGUGAUACAAUAAAAUUAUUUUUUUUCAGGUCUGGAGAGGUUAUCAAAGUUGAACAACUUGAAGUUUCUUGAUUUAGGCUUUAACCACUUCAACAACAGCAUCUUUUCAUCCCUAGGUGGUCUUUCAUCACUCAGACAAUUAUCAUUGGCUGCUAAUCGAUUGAAUGGAAGUAUUGAUAUUAAAGGUAAGCAAGCUUCAUCCUUUCUCCCGUGUCCCAUCUUUGUGGAUCUUAUUUUUAUUUAAAUUGUCUUUAAUUUGUCUUAUUUUUUAUUUUUUGAAGCAAGAAUAAGGUAUAGCAGUAGGUAAAGUUGAAAUACAUAUUUAUUCCUUACAAAUUUAAAUUCGUUGUCAGCCAAAUAUACCUACUUAAAACCACUCAAACAUGCCAUUGGCAGCAGUUUUUUAGGUUUUUCUAGUUAACCGUGUACUUUUUUGCUUAUUAAUAAAAUUCUUUUGUGCCGAGAUUUAAAAUAAAGAAGGAGAAAAUAAGUUAUUUAAUUAACUUUGUUUUAAGUGUUGGAAUAAAUACAGGAC
rnacentral:lncRNA from 1 species